CCAGAGCUUUAGAGGAACAUCACCUAAGUGUCCACUUUAGCUUCACAAAAAUUUCGGCUGAAAAAAACGCGUAGGACGCAAGCUCCAGGAGAAGACUACCUUUUUAAGUGCCUGAAAAGCAUCGCCGAACGAAGAUUUGUUGGAAAAGUUUAAAAAGAUACAUUUAAGAUGAAAGGAAAAUACCUGGUGGCAUUGUUCCUGUUUUUAGCAACUGCAGGCCCCACUACAACUGCAGCCCCGACUACAACUGCAGCCCCGACUACAACUGCAGCCCCCACUACAACUGCAGCCCCGACUACAACUGCAGCCCCGACUACAACUGCAGCCCCCACUACAACUGCAGCCCCCACUACAACAGCA